GAUGAACGCUGGCGGCGUGCCUAAUACAUGCAAGUCGAGCGAACAGACGAGGAGCUUUCUCCUCUGACGUUAGCGGCGGACGGGUGAGUAACACGUGGAUAACAUACCUAUAAGACUGGGAUAACUUCGGGAAACAGGAGCUACUAACGGAUAAUAUAUCGAACCGCAUGGUUCAAUAGUGAAAGACGGUUUUCCUGUCACUUAUAGAUGAAUCCGCGCCGCAUUAGGUACUUGGUAAGGUAACGGCUUACCAAGGCAACGAUGCGUAGCCGACCUGAGAGGGUGAUCGGCCACACUGGAACCGGGGCCAGGUCCAGACUCCCACGGGAAGCAACAGUAGGGAAACUUCCGAAAUGGGCGAAAGCCUUACGGAACAACGCCGCGGUAGUGAUGAAGGUCUUCGGAUCGUAAAACUCUGUUAUUAGGGAAGAACAAAUGUGUAAUUAACUAUGCACGUCUUGACGGUACCUAAUCAGAGAGCCACGGCUAACUACGUG
rnacentral:rRNA from 1 species